rnacentral:sRNA from 1 species
UCGAGUCCACAUUUCACGACAUGUCCAUGAACAAUCCGACCUCGUUUUCCAUCUCUCAUUGCACCGCAAGCCUUGAGCAUAAAAGGGUACGUGUACCGGUUUGCAGCUUCCAUGCUUGAUUCACUGCACUCAACAUACUUGCCAACUAGCUUUGCAACAACAAAUGGGUUUUGCUCACAACAGUAAUUAUCUGGGCAUGGAGUUUUUUGAUUGAUCUGGUGCUUCUACAGUGCCGUAGCAAGUAGGUAUAGUGAUAAGAGUCUCUGCAAUGAAGUGUUCUGUAUGUUCUGCCACCAAUGACAAACCCCAACAAUCUGAAGGGUUCCUCCCAUGAAAUUAAAAUCUUUGAUUGCCUAGCUAGCCCAUUAAUUUGGGCUUUCAACAGCUGCAUCAUCAUAGAAGGUACAGGAGUUUACCCAGAUACCACCAUUGCAGCAGUCUACCUGUCCAUGGUAAUACAAGCUUACAAAUUGUUAUUGGAAUGCAAAAGGGAAUGAGUUCUGCUUCAUUGCUUUGUAGUCCCAAACCCUAAAUUAGCAAUUCUAAUAUUUAGUUCAAAAAUUAAGGUUCCGUGAGAGUUUCUAUCAAUCUACUCUGGACAUUGUUUGGCUCUUUAGAGCAUCUCCAAUUGAGAUGUCAAAAGAUAAAUGUCCAAUUUGAUGGCUGACGUAGUAAUGUCAGAUUUUCUCUU